UUGGGAGCUCUCCCAUAUGGUCGACCUGCAGGCGGCCGCGAAUUCACUAGUGAUUAGAGUUUGAUCCUGGCUCAGAGCGAACGCUGGCGGCAGGCUUAACACAUGCAAGUCGAACGGUCCUUCGGGAUAGUGGCGGACGGGUGAGUAACACGUGGGAACGUACCCUUAGGUUCGGAACAACACAGGGAAACUUGUGCUAAUACCGGAUGAGCCCUUCGGGGGAAAGAUUUAUCGCCUUUGGAGCGGCCCGCGUCUGAUUAGCUAGUUGGUGAGGUAAUGGCUCACCAAGGCGACGAUCAGUAGCUGGUCUGAGAGGAUGGCCAGCCACACUGGGACUGAGACACGGCCCAGACUCCUACGGGAGGCAGCAGUGGGGAAUCUUGCGCAAUGGGCGAAAGCCUGACGCAGCCAUGCCGCGUGGAUGAUGAAGGUCUUAGGAUUGUAAAAUCCUUUCACCGGGGACGAUAAUGACGGUACCCGGAGAAGAAGCCCCGGCUAACUUCGUGCCAGCAGCCGCGGUAAUACGAAUCGAAUUCCCGCGGCCGCCAUGGCGGCCGGGAGCAUG
rnacentral:rRNA from 1 species